ensembl:lncRNA
CUUCAGAAGUUGCCUUUAGGCUCUUGUUAAUGAAAAUAUCUGAAGCCUGAAUAAAACUUCAUAAUAAAAAUAAAACUGUUUCACUUAUGGUUAGCCUUCUCGUAGUGAGGGGCUCUAAAUUCUGACUGCAAAACCAAGGAUAAGUCAUGUCAAUUGAGAUCAUUAUUUGUGGAUAACAGUCAAGAGGCAGCACGUGGAGUAACUAACACACAGCCGGGUUUUCUCCAAGCCCGCUCGCUUGUCUAUGCCUCAAAGUCUCACAGCCUCUGACAGGUUUCUCCACCUUCUCUCUCCUCCCUGUGAAACUCCUCUGAAACAUCUCCCUACUGUCCCAGAAACGACAUCCCUUCUGACAAAAGAACUCCAAAAAACUGGUGAUCUGAAGGUUGCUUUAGGUUCUGAGGACAUUGCUGUUGGUGUAACUCAGCCUGAUGGAUGCUCUCCCACACUGAUACGGGCUCACCAAGAGGAGACUCGAAGUGUUCUGUCUACAGUCUACAACAGGCGAGGAUCAUACAUUUUAGGACCAGUGGCCCCCCUAGUGAAGGUUUCUGUGCCCUCAGCAUCUCGAGAGCUGGAUGCAACAAGGAAGAGCUGAGGAGAACUGAGAGCCGCCCCUGUCGUGUCUGAAGGUGCUUUCUGGAAUGUAGCAGAGAACGGGAAAUGAGAUCCAAUUGCAAUGAGGAGGAAGGAUGAAGAUGCAACUCCUCACUGUCUCCUAACCCAUUCUUGAAAGACAGCCUGGAGGAGCAGAUUCCAACCAGAGGAACCCAGCUGGAACACCUAGGCAGCAGCCAGGAGAUGGCAGGGCCGUUUUGUGUAUGUUUUCUGUUUACUUGCUCAGUUUUUAAUGAAAGAAAUGUAUUUUUGUUCUUUAUGUGUUUUUGAAGUGUCUUAGCAUUAAAAACAUAUGUUUCUAUUUUUAGAAAAAUAAACUAUGAGUAUUUUAAUAGCAGUUCAAAAAUUGAAUUUGAUAUACUACUCCUAAGAAUGGCUUCCCUGGUGGCUCAGCUGUAAAGAAUCCACCUGCAAUGCAGGAGAUGCAAGAGAUGCGGGUUUGAUCCCUGGAGAAGGGAAUGGCAACCCACUCCAGUAUUCUUGCCUGGAAAUUUCCAUGGAUAGAGGAGCCUAGUGGGCUACAGUCCAUGGGGUCACAAAGAGUCAGACACGACUGAUCACACACACACACACACACACACACAC